UCAAUAUCCUCUACAAUGAAGUUUCGUAUCGUUGUAUUUUUGUUAUUUAUAAUGAUGAUCUAUUCAAUAUCAACAUCUGACCAAGAACUUCCUCGCAGCCUAGACGAGUAUAUUCCAAAAAAAGACGGUCAAAUAAGUUUUAAUAGACCCUAUAACUGCUACAUGGUUCGAUGCCGUGACGCAGAAGAAUGCAGUGAAGAUGAUAUUCUUCAACGACGUGAUGCGAUCUGGUGUUUCUGUUGCAAAAUCCCUAUUUCAAAGACAGGUAUAAAAUGUUUUAAUUACACGUCCAAGGUUAAUUUAAUAAAACUUUUUAAAAGAAAAUAAGCUGUGAUUCAAAAUAUUACAAAUUACAUCAAUACAAACUUUCGGAUUAUAUAAAAGAUUAAUUUACACUUUUUACAAAAAAGAAAACAACAAAAAAGUUUGUAAAACCUUAUUUUGGUCAAAAAUACUUAAAAGGAGUAUUACUCAACAUUUUUAUUCUAAUUUUGGAUUUUGUCAUCAAAAUAUAAUUGGGAACAUUUUGGUGUACAAUCGUCCAAGAAACGUAACUAUUUCCAUCAACGUUAUAUGUAAUUUGAUGUUGAAAUAAAGAAAAUAAAAAAUAAUAAGGAAACUACGAGGAAUAAAUAAUGGAAAUAAAAUAAUGGAACAAAUGGAAUUAAAUAAUUAACAAUUAGACCGAAGGUUUUCCCAAAUAAAAGAUUUAUAUACUGAGGGAAAUUAUUCUUGACCAAUCUUUUAUAUCAAAAAAUUCAUUCUUCCCGCAAUAAUUUAUAAUACUUAAAUGAAGAGUUAUACAAGAUUAUUGUUACAUGAAUAAGUUUUUUUUAAAAAGAAAGAUACCAGCGACAGGAGCAUGCACAAUAGAGUCAAACUUAGCACAUCGAAAUCUGAUGAUAUAUGUAAUACAAGGUGGUCCAUUUCACGUGAGACAAGCGAUUAUCUCAAAAACGAUGACCAAAUGAAAGUUGUUCUGUGCGAA